GGGCUUGACAUCCCACGAACCUGCCCGAAAAGGUGGGGUGCCCGCAAGGGAGCGUGGAGACGGGUGGUGCAUGGCUGUCGUCAGCUCGUGUCGUGAGAUGUUGGGUUAAGUCCCGCAACGAGCGCAACCCUCACCCCUAGUUGCCACCGGGUUAAGCCGAGCACUCAAGGGGAACUGCCAGCGUCAAGCUGGAGGAAGGCGGGGAUGACGUCAAGUCAUCAUGCCCCUUACGCCCUGGGCUACACACGUGCUACAAUGGCCAGCACAAAGGGACGCGAGACUGCGAAGUGGAGCUAAUCCCAAAAAGCUGGUCUAAGUUCAGAUUGCAGUCCGCAACUCGACUGCAUGAAGGAGGAAUCGCUAGUAAUCGCGCAUCAGCCCGGCGCGGUGAAUACGUUCCCGGGCCUUGUACACACCGCCCGUCACACCACGAAAGCUGUCUGUACUCGAAGUCGCUGAG
rnacentral:rRNA from 1 species